rfam:Aspergillus cristatus strain GZAAS20.1005 Scaffold_Scf_11, whole genome shotgun sequence.
GAAUCGGUGGCCAAGUGGUAAGGCGUGUGAUUGCAAAUCACAAGAUCCCGUGUUCGACCCACGGUCGGUUCU